UUUUCUUGUACAUGGCGGCGUUGAAUACUAUAUGGCACGUGCUAUAUGGUAAUUUCGUAGGGCAGUUUUCUUCGUGUCGUCGACGUUUACUGCCCUGCAUCGCGUUGCGUACUGUGUGUUGCAGUUACUGACAUAAGCACACAAUUUUCGCUGAGUAUUAUUAGCGGUGCCAAAUAGUCGCCUAAUACUGACCGUUCAACACCGUUCUCUGCGGCUCCUCUGUUCAUUGUCACUGUUGACGGGCGUGAAAUGUUUUCCCUUGAAAUAUUGCCGCACAUCAAUGACAGCGUUCUUCAAAGCCACGCUGCCAUCGAGGCGCCUCACGCAUCACCUCCUCGUUGCCUGGUGAACCUGGUGAUGUCCACAUGCAGCCAAUGCUGGUGUGAACAUGAGUUAUGUAAUAAUGCAGAUAGGAUGAACAAUGCUUUUCUGUGUGCAUCAUGGUCAAGAUGCGCAAGCCAAAUGUUCCUUCUACCAAAUGUUCCACAAGCCAAAUGUUCAUUCCAGUGAAUGAGCAUGCCUGGGAAUGUACUUCAAGCACGCCACAUGGGGCCAGCUGUGCCACUUCAAGAAAACUGCUUCAUUCCCAUCUGCAAGCUCCAAAAGAAGUUGCUUUAUUAUGCAAGCCAGCAAGGCAUAUUUGUUAGGCCCCACAGCAAAAGGAACAAAUAAACACGUUUUUUUUUUCGCAAGAAA